GAAGUUCAUAUGUACAAGCUUCCAACAUAACUGCAAAUUUACGUCGAAAGCGAAGUUCUCGCGUACCGUUUAUUUACUGGGGAGUCUCUGGCGAGUCACCGAGAAUGAACAACGCUGAGCCUCAUAUUUCGGACGAUACACAUGAAUUGAAGAUCAACUCCGCCGGUAGUGGCAGCCGAUCGGCUGUGAUCGAAAUCGUUGAUCUGGACGUCAUGGCGGUUGUAUAGGAAACGAUCAGAUGAACACACGAGGCAAAAACUGGUCAUAAAUAAUAAUAAUAAUAAAGGUUCGGUGCAUGCACGGUAGGGAAAGCAAUACGUGCUUACCUAUGCACAUACGCAAAUCUCAAAUAGUACGCGUUUUGGUGAUGAUACAUAGUUCUCAACUUGCUUCUUCACGCAAUGGCACUGGAAGUUUAAGCCAAGUUUCGAGUUUUACGUGUGGCUCUGCCGUAAACUUGCGCAGAUCUGGCUACUCCCACAGCUGUGAUGCCGACCAUAGCUUCUACCCAAACAAUGCUGUAGCAAGACCCGACAAUCCGUUUUUCAUGCGAAUCUUGCUAAUUACGUCUAUGGGACGGCACGGGCACAGUAGUUCCGGAACUUCACGAUAACGCAAAUGCGUCCUCGUUAAUGCUGUUCUCUAAGGAACUAGCAAAUCGAUUUUAUCCACAGGAGCUCUGUAAACAUUAUAUGGUACAACUCGAUAGGCCUAGUAAAACAAACACAACACUGGAGCGUGAAUAAC